CAUCUUAGCAUAGCAAUAUCAGGGGUGUUACAGUUGGUAAUCAUUCCCAAUAGUGGCAAGCAAUCUGUUUCCACUAUCACUGGUGCUCCAAUUAAAUAAUCUCUUUCACUUUUCAUAGCUGUAACUAUUCUCCAUAGCUCCUGUUGUCGGGGUAGAGAGAGUUUGCCUCAAGAAAGCGUUGGGCUUCUGGCUGUCACAAAAUACUCAAUCAAUUUUGAAAUAUAAGAGUAAUAAUUUUAUAUAUAUAAACUCGUCUCCUUUGGAGCAAUUACAUCAAUAUACAAGCCUUAAAAUCCAAAGAACACCAAAAUACUUGAUAAGGUGUUAUAAAAAACUUAUAUAUCGUUAUGAGGAAUUUUUCCCGAAGUUCAACAGCUCAUAACUUACGAUCUAACCGUCUAAACAACUCCAAAUUUUACAUGGAGUACUGAUAUAUCUUUAGCAACUACCACACCAAAAUUCAACCGUAAAUUCGUCUUGGAUCUUGUGAUAUCUUGAAAACCCUAACUGUAGCUUCAAACCCUAGCUUUUUUACACCCGUGUACAACUUCCUUCAUAUCUCACAAAGUAAUUAUUCAAAUACUAUGAAACUUUGAUCUAAAGCUUCUUAACCCAAUUACACACACUUGUGGAAAUUUUGAGCCAAAAAAUUCGUCCAGAAACUCAAGAUAUGGCUUCACCCAUAACUAGCAACAAAACGAUAUACUUACUGCCUUCAAAUUACAAGUGCUGUCUUCAACACCUCAUAACUCCUUCAUCCAAUCUUAGAAUUCAUUAUACAGUGAGUAGAAUGUGUAGCCGAAAAAAUGCUCCCUCCAAAUCCAGUCGCCGAUCUUCCGUUGCUCUCCGUAUUCAUAUGUGAUGCCCAAAAGAAGUGACAGUAGGUACGAAAUUGACACCUUAUCUUUGAACAUUCAUAUCUUUUCCAUAAAAACUCGAAAUCACACAAAAUCUUCACCCAAAUUAUACCCAAAACCCUAAACCUUCUGACCCUAGCCUCAAAAGCUCGAAUGGCCUCGAAAGAGGAACCCUAAUUCCUAAUAUGGCCUCGGGCAGCCUCCU
rnacentral:lncRNA from 1 species